rnacentral:rRNA from 1 species
AUCCUGUUGAUUAAUAAAAGGUGUGACCUGCUCAAUGAGGAAUCUUAAAUAGCCGCGGUAUUUUGACCGUGCUAAGGUAGCAUAAUCAUUAGUCUUUUAAUUAAAGGCUUGUAUGAAUGGUUGGACGAGAAAAUUUCUGUCUCUGAAUUGAUUUUUGAAGUUUACUUUUAAGUGAAAAGGCUUAAAUGUGUUUAAAGGACGAUCAGACCCUAUAGAGCUUUUUUAUUGGGGCGAUAUAGAGUAAAAAGAAACACUCUAAUAAGUUAACAUAAAUAGAUGAAUUAUUGAUCCUUGUUGAAGGAUUAAGAGUUUAAGUUACCUUAGGGAUAACAGCGUAAUCUUUUUGGAGAGUUCUUAUCGAUGGAAAGGUUUGCGACCUCGAUGUUGGAUUAAGAGAUUGACAGGGUGCAGUAGCUCUGUAAAAAAGUCUGUUCGACUUUUAAAAUCUUACA